AGAGUUUGAUCAUGACUCAGGAUGAACGCUAGCUACAGGCUUAACACAUGCAAGGUCGAGGGGAAACGACAUCGAAAGCUUGCUUUUGAUGGGCGUCGACCGGCGUACGGGUGAGUAACGCGUAUCCAACCUGCCCACCACUUGGGGAUAACCUUGCGAAAGUAAGACUAAUACCCAAUGAUAUCUCUAGAAGACAUCUGAAAGAGAUUAAAGAUUUAUCGGUGAUGGGUGGGGAUGCGUCUGAUUAGCUUGUUGGCGGGGUAACGGCCCACCAAGGCAACGAUCAGUAGGGGUUCUGAGAGGAAGGUCCCCCACAUUGGAAUUGAGACACGGUCCAAACUCCUACGGGAGGCAGCA
rnacentral:rRNA from 1 species